CUGGAGCGCUUAGAAGUGAGAAUGCCGGUAUGAGUAGCGAAAGACAGGUGAGAAUCCUGUCCACCGAAUGACUAAGGUUUCCUGGGGAAGGCUCGUCCGCCCAGGGUUAGUCGGGACCUAAGCCGAGGCCGACAGGCGUAGGCGAUGGAUAACAGGUUGAUAUUCCUGUACCCGUUGUUUUUGUUUGAGCAAUGGAGGGACGCAGGAGGCUAAGGAAUGCAGACGAUCGGAAAUGUCUGUCCAAGCAGUAAGUCUGAAGAGGAGU
rnacentral:rRNA from 1 species